CGACGUCAGUUCCUCUUCCUGCUUGCAGUCAGCAGGAGGCUUUAGUGAUGUCGCAGACAGACGUGGGUCCUUUUCACCCGGGAAGCUUUAGGCUGCCGCCGAACUCACAGCUUCCUGGUUUUGCGGGACCCAACAAAU
ensembl:snoRNA small nucleolar RNA SNORA79